CUCUAUUGAAUGACCUGGAGCUCUAAAUUCCAACCUGUUGAAAAGUCUUUCCUCCACUUCCCUUACCCAGAAGGAAAAAAAAGGGUUCCUGUAUUUUUGAAAGCAUCCAUUAGAGGAAGAACAAACAACAAUAGCUGCUGAGAAGGACUGAUCCUUUAACUUCAGGGGCCACCCUGAAGAUCCUUUCCAUCACUUAGCCUCCCCAAGAAGGACAUUUUCCACUUGUUAAGAAAAAUUUGGUCAACAGAGAUAUUCAUUGCUUCAAUGAAUACCAGGAAGAGGGCU
rnacentral:lncRNA from 1 species